rnacentral:misc_RNA from 1 species
AAACUGCGAUAAGUAGCGUGAAUUGCAGACGCUUUGAACGUUAAACUUUCGAACGCACAUUGCGCCAUAGGAGUCCUACCCUAUGGCACAUCUGGUUGAGGGUCGUGAUUAAAAACAGCAGGAAAACGGCUGUAUUUUAUGACAAAUUGGUUCUGUAGGUUGGUUUGGGGGGAGAGUAGGUGAAUUCCCUUGCCCCACGGAUGGGCAUAACGGCUGAGGACUAGUUCCGGCCCGUAGUGUACCAUACAUACGCCUAGUGCGUAAGUGCAUUAUGGGUGUCUGUGAAUCGGCUGAUAUGACCUAUACGUGCCGGGUUUUGUCGGUAGACGAUCGACUUCCCGACCUCAACUCAGGUGUGAUUACCCGCUGAACUUAA